GCCUGAUUAGCUCAGUCGGUAGAGCAAACGGCUGUUAACCGUUGGGUCGCAGGUUCGAGUCCUGCAUCAGGCGCCA
rnacentral:tRNA from 1 species